rnacentral:rRNA from 1 species
UACAGAGGGUGCGAGCGUUAAUCGGAAUUACUGGGCGUAAAGCGCACGUAGGUGGUUUUGUAAGUCGGAUGUGAAAUCCCCGGGCUCAACCUGGGAACUGCAUCCGAGACUGCAUUGCUAGAGUAUGGGAGAGGGAAGCGGAAUUUCUGGUGUAGCAGUGAAAUGCGUAGAUAUCAGAAGGAACAUCAGUGGCGAAGGCGGCUUCCUGGACCAAUACUGACGAUCAGGUGCGAAAGCGUGGGGAGCAAACAGG